rfam:Schistosoma mansoni strain Puerto Rico chromosome W, complete genome
AGCCUUCUGCACCCGUUCUGAGAUUUCGUCACACACCAGACCACAAGGCCUGAUGUGACUCCCAAGCUAAGUGAAACG